rnacentral:rRNA from 1 species
CCUACGGGAGGCAGCAGUAGGGAAUAUUGCGCAAUGGAGGAAACCCUGAAGCAGCAACGCCGCGUGGAGGAUGAAGGUUUUCGGAUUGUAAACUCCUGUUGUUAGAGAAGAUAAUGACGGUAUCUAACGAAUAAGCACCGUCUAACUCCCUGCCAACAGCCGCGGUAAUACGGAGGGUGCAAGCGUUACUCGGAAUCACUGGGCGUAAAGGGCGCGUGGGCGGGAUAGCAAGUCAGAUGUGAAAUCCUAUGGCUUAACCAUAGAACUGCAUUUGAAACUGUUAUUCUAGAGUAUGGGAGAGGUAGGUGGAAUUCUUGGUGUAGGGGUAAAAUCCGUAGAGAUCAAGAGGAAUACUCAUUGCGAAGGCGACCUGCUAGAACAUAACUGACGCUGAUGCGCGAAAGCGUGGGGAGCAAACAGGAUUAGAUACCCUAGUAGUC